AACGAACGCUGGCGGCAGGCUUAACACAUGCAAGUCGAACGCCCCGCCAGGGGAGUGGCAGACGGGUGAGUAACGCGUGGGAACAUACCCUUUUCUACGGAAUAGCCCUGGGAAACUGGAAUUAAUACCGUAUACGCCCUACGGGGGAAAGAUUUAUCGGGGAAGGAUUGGCGCGCGUUGGAUUAGCUAGUUGGUGGGGUAAAGGCCUACCAAGGCGACGAUCCAUAGCUGGUCUGAGAGGAUGAUCAGCCACAUUGGGACUGAGACGCGGCCCAAACUCUUACGCGAGGCAGCAGUGGGGAAUAUUGGACAAUGGGCGCAAGCCUGAUCCAGCCAUGACGCGUGAGUUAUGAAGGCCUUAGGGUUGUAAAGCUCUAUCAACGAUGAAGAUAAUGACGGUAGUCGGAGAAGAAGCCCCGGCUAACUUCGUG
rnacentral:rRNA from 1 species